rnacentral:rRNA from 1 species
AAAUAGAACUUUGCAGAGAGAGUUAAGAGGGCGUGAAACCGUUAAUUGGCAAACGAAUCGGAGCCACGAAGUCGUUUCGUCGAGCUAGGUCGGGUUCAGCUUGCAACCUUCGGGUUGCUGGCGUAUUCUCGUGCCAAGCCAAUGUAAGCGUACACUGCAACCAGUUAGACAAUUGUCCAUGGAACCAGUUGAUCUUGGAUGCGCAAGCAUCUAAGUUUAGCGAACGGUUUGUUUGGUCAGGUUAGUAGUAGUGUGCUGUGGACUUGUCCUCAGUGUGCUGCUGGAUCUGUUGCCAAGUGACCUAUGGGCAAAUACUGACUGGCAAAAUGAAAAUCGCGCGCAAGCGUGUGCACAAAUUGCGCCUUGUUGUAUGAUAGGCUACACAAUCCACCGUGGAUAUAUUAAAGUUCGGUGCUUUUGAAUUUGGACUUGCUAGCUACCAAUGGGGCAACUCUUGGUGCUAGUAUAGCUUCCAUCUAAUCGGGUGCUGGCUUGUAUUCACGUCGUUGUGGUUGUGCUACGAUCGGUCUACAUAUAAGCGAGUGCGUGAAAAUUGGCAGUGAGUAGGUCGGCUUUCCGAACGA